ACUCUAAUGAGACUGCCGGUGACAAGCCGGAGGAAGUGGGGAUGACGUCAAGUCCUCAUGGCCCUUAUAGUGGGGCUACACACGUCAUACAAUGGCUGGUCAAAGGGUUGCCAACCCGCGAGGGGGAGCCAAUCCCAUAAAGCCAGUCGUAGUCCGGAUCGUAGUCUGCAACUCGACUACGUGAAGUCGGAAUCGCUAGUAAUCGUGGAUCAGAAUGUCACGGUGAAUACGUUCCCGGGUCCUU
rnacentral:rRNA from 1 species